rnacentral:rRNA from 1 species
AUGUGAUCGUCUCUCGCAUAUCAAUAAGCGGAGGAAAAGAAACUAACAAGGAUUCCCCUAGUAACGGCGAGUGAAGCGGGAAGAGCUCAAAUUUGAAAUCUUAAAGGGUUUCCCUUUACGAAUUGUAGUUUAAAGAAGUGUUUUCUGUUGAGGUUUUGGUAAAAGUUCUUUGGAAUAGGACAUCAUAGAGGGUGAGAAUCCCGUAUUUGACCUUUACUUUCAACUUUGUGAUACACUUUCAAAGAGUCGGAUUGUUUGGGAAUGCAGUCCAAAAUGGGUGGUAAAUUUCAUCUAAAGCUAAAUAUUGGCGAGAGACCGAUAGCGAACAAGUACCGUGAGGGAAAGAUGAAAAGAACUUUGAGAAGAGAGUUAAACAGUACGUGAAAUUGUCAAAAGGGAAGCGUUUGACACCAGUGUUGUUUUUCUGAAAAUCAAUUAAAGAACUGUUUAUGCUAAGUUGUUUAGACUUUAUCAGCUAACUGUUUAGUUUUGAGCUUUUCUUUAAUGCACUUUUCAGUUAACAAGUCAACAUCAAUUUCUUUUGCUGUAAAAAAGCUUGAGGAAGGUGGCUUGAGAUUCGUCUUAAGUGUUUAUAGCCUCUUGCCUAUGCAGUCGGAGAGAUUGAGGUCUGCAGCGUAGAUCCUUCGGGGCUAAAUGCAUUUGUGCUAAGUUAUAGCAUUUUAUAGACAACUUGUUGACUAUGAUUUGUCUUGUAGCUUACUCGCUUAUGUUAUUUUACCUACGCUUAGGAUGUUGAGUCAUCACACAUCUCU